GACGAACGCUGGCGGCGUGCUUAACACAUGCAAGUCGAACGGAAAGGCCCUGCUUUUGUGGGGUGCUCGAGUGGCGAACGGGUGAGUAACACGUGAGUAACCUGCCCUUGACUUUGGGAUAACUUCAGGAAACUGGGGCUAAUACCGGAUAGGAGCUCCUGCUGCAUGGUGGUGGUUGGAAAGUUUCGGCGGUUGGGGAUGGACUCGCGGCUUAUCAGCUUGUUGGUGGGGUAGCGGCUUACCAAGGCUUUGACGGGUAGCCGGCCUGAGAGGGUGACCGGCCACAUUGGGACUGAGAUACGGCCCAGACUCCUACGGGAGGCAGCAGUGGGGAAUAUUGCACAAUGGGCGGAAGCCUGAUGCAGCAACGCCGCGUGCGGGAUGACGGCCUUCGAGUUGUAAACCGCUUUCGCCUGUGACGAAGCGUGAGUGACGGUAAUGGGUAAAGAAGCACCGGCUAACUACGUG
rnacentral:rRNA from 1 species